rnacentral:rRNA from 1 species
UACGUAGGGUGCUAGCGUUGUUCGGAAUCAUUGGGCGUAAAGCGCGUGUAGGUGGCUGUGUAAGUCGGAUGUGAAAUCCCUGGGCUCAACCGAGGAAGUGCAUCCGAAACUACAUAGCUCGAGGACGGUAGAGGAAGGUGGAAUUCCAAGUGUAGAGGUGAAAUUCGUAGAUAUUUGGAGGAAUACCGGCGGCGAAGGCGGCCUUCUGGGCCGUUCCUGACACUGAGACGCGAAAGCUAGGGGAGCAAACAGG